rnacentral:rRNA from 1 species
GACGAACGCUGGCGGCGUGCUUAACACAUGCAAGUCGAACGGAAAGGCCCUGCUUUUGUGGGGUGCUCGAGUGGCGAACGGGUGAGUAACACGUGAGUAACCUGCCCUUGACUUUGGGAUAACUUCAGGAAACUGGGGCUAAUACCGGAUAGGAGCUCCUGCUGCAUGGUGGGGGUUGGAAAGUUUCGGCGGUCGGGGAUGGACUCGCGGCUUAUCAGCUUGUUGGUGGGGUAGUGGCUUACCAAGGCUGUGACGGGUAGCCGGCCUGAGAGGGUGACCGGCCACAUUGGGACUGAGAUACGGCCCAGACUGCUACGGGAGGCAGCAGGGGGGAAUAUUGCACAAUGGGCGGAAGCCUGAUGCAGCAACGCCGCGUGCGGGAUGACGGGCUUCGGGGUGUAAACCGCUUUCGCCUGUGACGAAGCGUGAGUGACGGUAAUGGGUAAAGAAGCACCGGCUAACUACGUG